AACCUUAUAGUAUAUAAAACUAUAUUACCGUAAACUGCAACUUUACUAAAGCUAAUAGCUAAGGUUU
rnacentral:tRNA from 1 species